UAUCUCUCUCUCUCCCUUUCUCUCUCCUCUCUCUCUCCUUCUCCUGAACGCGAGGCCGUCGCCUCCUCCCCUCUGCAACUCGAGCGUGCCGCCGCCACAGGUCACGGCGACCUUCGCCGUUGGUACCAGUCGACCCGCCUCGCCGCCGCCGUCCUUCCCCUACCUGUCGCCGACCUCAGCUCGCAGGGAACUGGCCGGAAAUUGAGAAUUUCCGCCGGUUUUCAUCCAAACUUCAACUUAUUCGUUCUCCUUCGUUUCUCCACCAAAUCUUUCGAGUGAGGCACCAGGAGUCUAGCUAACCCACAGGAGGGACCUUCGAAGGGUCCAGCUAGCUCGGACCAGCAGCCGUAGAAGAACGAAGGAAACCACUCGGGCCAUCAUCCUAGCUCCCGACCCACCACCAAAGUGUAGGAACUCGUUAUAACUUUUUCUUGAAUAUGUAAAUUUAUAUAGAAAGACUCUGAUAUCUUGUUGAACAUAAGACACUGAAGUUGAGAUCUGUUUGUUGAAUUAGUCUGGCAGUUGGUAUGUUAUUUGAGACUGUUUGAC